rnacentral:rRNA from 1 species
UAGAGUUUGAUCAUGGCUCAGGAUGAACGCUGGCGGCGUGCUUAACACAUGCAAGUCGAACGGACUUAUAUUGAAACCUAGUGAAAUAUAAGUUAGUGGCGGACGGGUGAGUAACGCGUGGAUAACCUGCCGUAUACAGGGGGAUAACACUUAGAAAUAGGUGCUAAUACCGCAUAAGCGCACAGCUUCGCAUGAAGCAGUGUGAAAAACUGAGGUGGUAUACGAUGGUUCCGCGUCUGAUUAGCUAGUUGGUGGGGUAAUGGCCUACCAAGGCGACGAUCAGUAGCCGGCCUGAGAGGGUGAACGGCCACAUUGGGACUGAGACACGGCCCAAACUCCUACGGGAGGCAGCAGUGGGGAAUAUUGCACAAUGGGGGAAACCCUGAUGCAGCGACGCCGCGUGAGUGAAGAAGUAUUUCGGUAUGUAAAGCUCUAUCAGCAGGGAAGAAAAUGACGGUACCUGAUUAAGAAGCCCCGGCUAACUACGUGCCAGCAGCCGCGGUAAUACGUAGGGGGCAAGCGUUAUCCGGAUUUACUGGGUGUAAAGGGAGCGUAGACGGCAGCGCAAGUCUGAAGUGAAAUGCCGGGGCUUAACCCCGGAACUGCUUUGGAAACUGAGCAGCUAGAGUGCAGGAGAGGUAAGUGGAAUUCCUAGUGUAGCGGUGAAAUGCGUAGAUAUUAGGAGGAACACCAGUGGCGAAGGCGGCUUACUGGACUGUAACUGACGUUGAGGCUCGAAAGCGUGGGGAGCAAACAGGAUUAGAUACCCUGGUAGUCCACGCCGUAAACGAUGAU